rnacentral:rRNA from 1 species
UACGUAGGGGGCUAGCGUUAUCCGGAAUUACUGGGCGUAAAGGGUGCGUAGGCGGUCUUUCAAGCCAGAAGUGAAAGGCUACGGCUCAACCGUAGUAAGCUUUUGGAACUGUAAGACUUGAGUGCAGGAGAGGAGAGUGGAAUUCCUAGUGUAGCGGUGAAAUGCGUAGAUAUUAGGAGGAACACCAGUAGCGAAGGCGGCUCUCUGGACUGUAACUGACGCUGAGGCACGAAAGCGUGGGGAGCGAACAGG